AGAGUUUGAUCCUGGCUCAGAACUAACGCUGGUGGCGUGUCUUAGUCAUGCAAGUCGCACGAGAACGCACCCUUCGGGGUGUUAGUAAAGUGGCGGACGGGUGAGUAACACGUGGGCAACCUACCUUCGAGUGGGGAAUAACACUUCCAACGAGGGGCUAAUACCGCAUAAUACGGCAGCGCCGCAUGGCGCAGUCGUCAAAGGUGGCCUCUGCUUGCAAGCUGCCGCUUGAAGAUGGGCCCGCGCUCCAUUAGCUAGUUGGUGAGGUAACGGCUCACCAAGGCUACGAUGGAUAGCCGGCCUGAGAGGGUGAUCGGCCACACUGGAACUGAGAUAAGGUCCAGUCCCCUACGGGGGCCAGCAGUCUAGAAAUUUGCCCAAUGGACGAAAGUCUGAGGCAGCGACGCCACGUGGAGGAUGAAGCCUUUCGGGGUGUAAACUCCUGUCAGGGGGGAAGAACGUGGGCCGAUAAACAGUCGGUUCAUCUGACGGUGCCUCCAGAGGAAGCUCCGGCUAACUUCGUGCCAGCAGCCGCGGUAAUACGAAGGGAGCGAGCGUUGUUCGGAUUUACUGGGCGUAAAGGGCGCGUAGGCGGGCCGUUAAGUCGAACGCGAAAACUCUUGGCUCAACCAGGAGAUUGCGUUCGAUACUGGCGGUCUUGAGUUCAGGAGAGGAGAGCGGAAUCGACAGUGUAGCGGUGAAAUGUGUAGAUAUUGUCGAGAACACCAGUGGCGAAGGCGGCUCUCUGGCCUGAUACUGACGCUGAGGCGCGAAAGCUAGGGUAGCAAACAGGAUUAGAUACCCUGGUAGUCCUAGCCGUAAACGAUGGGCACUAGGUGUUGGAGGUAUUGACCCCUUCAGUGCCGAAGCUAACGCAUUAAGUGCCCCGCCUGGGGAGUACGGUCGCAAGGCUGAAACUCAAAGGAAUUGACGGG
rnacentral:rRNA from 1 species